GGGUUGUGAGGUUAAGCGAACAAGCGUACACGGUGGAUGCCCUGGCAGUCAGAGGCGAUGAAGGACGUGCUAAUCUGCGAAAAGCGCCGGUAAGGUGAUAUGAACCGUUAUAACCGGCGAUGUCCGAAUGGGGAAACCCGGUGCACUUCGGUGCAUCAUCGUUAGCUGAAUACAUAGGCUAACGAGGCGAACCGGGGGAACUGAAACAUCUAAGUACCCCGAGGAAAAGAAAUCAACCGAGAUUCCCCCAGUAGCGGCGAGCGAACGGGGAACAGCCCAGAGCCUGAAUCAGCUUGUGUGUCAGUGGAACGGUCUGGAAAGGCCGGCGAUACAGGGUGACAGCCCCGUACACGAAGGCACACAGGCUGUGAGCUCGAUGAGUAGGGCGGGACACGUGAUAUCCUGUCUGAAGAUGGGGGGACCAUCCUCCAAGGCUAAAUACUCCUGACUGACCGAUAGUGAACCAGUACCGUGAGGGAAAGGCGAAAAGAACCCCGGCGAGGGGAGUGAAACAGAACCUGAAACCGUGUACGUACAAGCAGUGGGAGCCUUCGUAAGAGGGUGACUGCGUACCUUUUGUAUAAUGGGUCAGCGACUUAUAUUCUGUAGCAAGGUUAACCGUAUAGGGGAGCCGAAGGGAAACCGAGUCUUAAUUGGGCGUUAAGUUGCAGGGUAUAGACCCGAAACCCGGUGAUCUAGCCAUGGGCAGGUUGAAGGUUGGGUAACACUAACUGGAGGACCGAACCGACUAAUGUUGAAAAAUUAGCGGAUGACCUGUGGCUGGGGGUGAAAGGCCAAUCAAACCGGGAGAUAGCUGGUUCUCCCCGAAAGCUAUUUAGGUAGCGCCUCGUGAACUCAUCUCCGGGGGUAGAGCACUGUUUCGGCUAGGGGGCCAUCCCGGCUUACCAACCCGAUGCAAACUGCGAAUACCGGAGAAUGUUAUCACGGGAGACACACGGCGGGUGCUAACGUCCGUCGUGAAGAGGGAAACAACCCAGACCGCCAGCUAAGGUCCCAAAGUCAUGGUUAAGUGGGAAACGAUGUGGGAAGGCCCAGACAGCCAGGAUGUUGGCUUAGAAGCAGCCAUCAUUUAAAGAAAGCGUAAUAGCUCACUGGUCGAGUCGGCCUGCGCGGAAGAUGUAACGGGGCUAAACCAUGCACCGAAGCUGCGGCAGCGACACUAUGUGUUGUUGGGUAGGGGAGCGUUCUGUAAGCCUGUGAAGGUGUGCUGUGAGGCAUGCUGGAGGUAUCAGAAGUGCGAAUGCUGACAUAAGUAACGAUAAAGCGGGUGAAAAG
rnacentral:rRNA from 1 species